GACAAACAGGAAAUGGAAAAACGGAUGGACGAUAAACUGGCGUCGUUCAAGAAAGAAUGGAACGAGGAGAAAUCGAGUCUUCUGAGGAUGAACGAGUCGGCCAUCACAAACUUACAGGCGAGUGUGGAGAAGCUGAGGCGUUCCAACGAGGAGUAUAAUAGACUGUCGGAGAAAUACGACAAACUGAAAGAAAUGCAGAAGGAAAUGCGCGAACGAGAGAAUGAGAGAUGGCAGAGACUGUCGCAGGCCAACGCGGAGAGGGCGCAACUGAAAAUUGCUAACGACGAUCUGAAAACUCAGAUUCAGAAACUGCAAGAGAAGGUGGCCACGUUGGAGUGCGAGAACAGUCGUCUGAAGGAGAAAGAUUGUCAGAGUCAAAUAGAUCUGGAGCAUCUUGCCAUAGAAAAUAAAACCCUGAUGCAGGAGUUAGAGGAGAAAGACAAAGAGAGACUGGCGCUAAAGAAGGAGGUGGAAAUGGCGUACAGUCGGAUAAGUGACGUAGUCAAGUUCCAGAGGGAGAAGUCGGAGUUGGAUGACGUCACGUAUAAGAGCGCGCUGGAGAAACAGUCCGAGAAGUUGAACGAGAUCUUUGAGGUCGUGAACAAUCUGAACUCCAAAGAGAGGCCUCGUCUCGCCUCACGUAAUCUGUACAUCGGGGGAAGUGGCAUCGUGCCAAAAACUCCGAACAAACAAGGGGAUAAGAAAUGAUACUAUAAUUUAAAGAUAAACUUUUCAAUGACAUUU
rnacentral:misc_RNA from 1 species